AAACCAGCACCUCAAGUGGUCAGGAUGAUUAUUGGGCCUAAAGCAUCCGUAGCCGGCUCUGUAAGUUUUCGGUUAAAUCUGUACGCUCAACAUACAGGCUGCCGGAAAUACUGCAGGGCUAGGGAGUGGGAGAGGUAGACGGUACUCGGGAGGAAGGGGUAAAAUCCUUUGAUCUCUCGAUGACCACCUGUGGCGAAGGCGGUCUACCAGAACACGUCCGACGGUGAGGGAUGAAAGCUGGGGGAGCAAACCGGAUUAGAAACCCGAGUAGUCC
rnacentral:rRNA from 1 species